ACCCCGUGCAGUACCCGAACUGGGUCAGCAGGAGCGCCAGAUUCACGACCAGCUCUCCGGCACGACCAAAGGCAUAGGCACCAACGUCGCCGUAAAGCACUUGUCGAGCGGGCACACACGACGCUGCCCCCGGAGAGUCCGAACUGACCUCUGCGAACGGUGCACGUUCUGAGCCAGGUUCUGUGCCGCCGCGUUGUCUCUGCCACCAUUCUGCUGGGAUAUGGCGCUUCACGCGCACGAGUAAGACACAGCCAUAGAAGGUCAACAGACUGACUAGGACCAAACCCAGAAUGCCUCGCGUCACGCCAGCGUAGGAAAACGCAUAGGAAACGUAGAGAAAGUUCAAACCGAGGAAUCCUUUCAGCAAGUUGGCAAACUCACCCAGCACGCUUUUCAAACUCGAGCCCGACGUGCGAAGCGUGUCGCUUUCGGGUUUCGUACCGGUUGCGUCCGCGUUUUCCGCAGAGUGCUCGGUAGCCACAACCAGGUCCGGGACACUGUCUGCAGCGGCCUGCGACGAGGCACCUCCCGGCGAGCUCGCCGCGUCUGGUGUAAAACGCCCGACCAUGAAGGAAGCUUGCUUCGCAUUCGCGUACGUCUGAGACAGCGUCAAUGACGAAGAGUUCACGCUGUGAGGAAACCGCACCUAGUCAGGCGGGUAGGCAGUCUGCCUGAAUACGUUCGUACGUAUGGGUGUCGCGCGCGACUCGAGAAAGUAACGACAGCAGGUAGAGGCGCGCGUGGAUACUCCGCCAAGCUCCGACGUGAGACACGGGGGCUGGUUGCUCUCAUAUGCACGUUGAGGGUGCCUAUGCUUUGAAUGCACGUAGUUGUAGGUGUGUCUGCUUUCCAGGGAAAAACUGUGCAGGAAUAUGGGCGAACGGAUGCAGUGUCUGCAUAGAAAAACGAAAGCGUUGAGCAGUACGCGUUUGUUUUUCAUAGUAGCUAUCGGAAAAUCGACGCUUCGUUGCUUGAUCCCUGAACAAAUCAGCAGAAAGGUUGCAAUGAGAAGUCUAUCUUGCCGGCAGCAAGUCUCGAGCAGGCAUCCUGGCAAGCUGGCUGGUUCCCGAUCUAGCGAAAUCAAUACCACGAAAACGAGCUGCUUCCGGUGUCGGUGCACUGUGCUCGCGGUGCCUCUACUACGUCGUGUCGCGACUUGUGCCGCUGGAGCGUGAACUCUGCCGCAGAACGAUACGCAGCGCGAACAACAAAGCACGCUGUUGCUGUGGAGCUGUCGCAGCUCCUGCUGACAGCAUCAGGCUGCGUAACCUGGUAGAGUCUCGUUCGGUGCAUCGAUCUCGUUUGGCGUACCCGACGGACUACACGAAUCAGGGAAUCGCUGAACCAUACGCAAUGGUUAUUGGCAUCUGGGAGAGCGUCCAUUAUGCUGCAGGAGACUUGCAAGCUCCACUGGGUACCAGCCAUAAUUCCAUGCGGAUAUCAUGGUCGAUUCAAAUGGUCUAAUAGGUGCUGAGCUCACCGUACGCGCUCACUACCAAGUCUGUGGAUGCAUGGAUCCUGUGCAGUUGAUAAAGCAUCCACGUUCGAAACCGAUACUUGGUACGAUGGUAGACAGUUCUUUCAUGCCAGCUGGGCGUGCUGCAGGACGGUGCAUGUGCUCGCUGCUCAUCCUCCAAUGCUCGACAUGCACUCUUGUGAGAAUUAAAAAUGAAACAAGUCCAUGAGCACGGGGCGUGCAAGUCUAACCUGGGAUCUAUCUCUGCUAUCAGCAAUACCAGCGUUUGCGGGCUUUUUCGAAGACGACUUUGUCUCUCUGAUCUCCGGAUUUGAACACGUUGGUGUGCCUGCUUUUCGCCCAGCUCCGCUGCGGGCAGUCGAAUGAAGUUGACAGCAGCUUUCAAGUCCCGAAAUCAAAGCGCCAAGCUGUGAUUCAAGCAUUUCAUGCACAGGCAAGCGUUCCGAUUUGCGCUCGGCAUGCCAGAUUCAUACUUUUUUUGUGUAUGGCCUCGAUGCGCACUUCGUAGCGGUGACGCUCGGCACGGGUAUGGUAAGGGGUUUCCAUGUAAGAAAUGUGCUUUCACCUGCGGGCGGUGCACGACGGUGCAUGAACGCCUGCCUCAUGGCUCGGUACAUGCCCUUGACAGGCGUACAAGGCUUUCCUCGAUACUCGGCUCGGUUUCCGCCCCGGUGCACCGCACCCUAUGAUCACAGGCUUUUUCUGGGCGAUCCCCUUGUCAAGGACGCGGUCCGCCGCACGCGCAAGCUGUUCUGUUCGAUACAGGAUUUGCGGAAUGCGAUGCUGUUCAUAAUGAAACAAGUACCGGAACGAAACUCCAUCUUGGAGAACAAGUCGCGCAGCAUCGAUUCGUUUGCGUUGCUUUCGUACAAAGCGGUGGUGUACGCUCUACUGGAAGUGAUCGCUGCGAUGACAGGUGCCCGAGUCGAACACCCUUCCCGACGCAAAAGAUAGAGAUGCAGACGCUAUGGAGCAUGCUCCGCGAUAGGUAGCAUACUGCCGUAAAGUACCGAAUCAUCAACGGCUGCAGAGAGAGACAGCAUGAUUUGUCUAUCGAA